UGGGGAAUAUUGGACAAUGGGCGAAAGCCUGAUCCAGCAAUGCCGCGUGAGUGAUGAAGGCCUUAAGGGUUGUAAAGCUCUUUCGCACGCGACGAUGAUGACGGUAGCGUGAGAAGAAGCCCCGGCUAACUUCGUGCCAGCAGCCGCGGUAAUACGAAGGGGGCUAGCGUUGUUCGGAAUUACUGGGCGUAAAGGGCGCGUAGGCGGCCCGUCAAGUCAGGCGUGAAAUCCCCGAGCUUAACUUGGGAAUAGCGCUUGAGACUGGCGGGCUUUGAGUCCGGGAGAGGUGAGUGGAAUUCCCAGGUGUAGAGGUGAAAUUCGUAGAUAUUGGGAAGAACACCAGUGGCGAAGGCGGCUCACUGGACCGGCACUGACGCUGAGGCGCGAAAAGCGUGGGGGAGCAAACAGGAUUAGAUACCCUGGUAGUCCACGCCGUAAAACGAUGAGUGCUAGACGUU
rnacentral:rRNA from 1 species